rnacentral:misc_RNA from 1 species
GAUGAAGAACGUAGCGAAAUGCGAUAAGUAAUGUGAAUUGCAGAAUUCAGUGAAUCAUCGAAUCUUUGAACGCACAUUGCGCCCAUUAGUAUUCUAGUGGGCAUGCCUGUUCGAGCGUCAUUAAUUCCACUUAAGCCCUGCUUAGUGUUGGGAAUCUACUCUAGUGGUGCUACCCUGGAGCUACCCCUGAAAGGGGGCUGGCCCGGUAGUUACCCUGUAGUUCCUCAAAGAUAGUGUGCGGAGUUGCGUGGUCCUCUGAGCUUAGUAACUAUACACCUAGCUUUUGAGUGUCCCGCGGCGCCUGCCGUUUAAACCCCAUCUUUUAAUGGUUGACCUCGGAUCAGGUAGGAAUACCCGCUGAACUUAAGCAUAUCAAUAAGCGGAGGA